AUGGGUCACCCAGCGUUCAGUGUCACCUUUGAAAGAAUACCGUACAGAAAGUGUUCUUAUCGGUAACUGUCACCACAGGAGACCUGUGCUCUCACACCCUCCCCUGUGCGAUUUCAGCUUACUUCCUAGACCCGCUCUGGGUCCCACCCACCUCCCACUGCAGCCAGGAGCCGUCCACCAAUAGUUCUGCCAAUAGAUGGGGAGUUUCUCGCUGUCUUUUGUGUUGUCUCCACCAGCUCCUGGCCCUUGCAUCGGAUGCUCUGCAUUUCCACCCAGAACAAGAACUGCAUCGGUUUCCCGGAGCUGAGAGAUCCCGCUAUCCAGAGCUCUCUGGAGAAAAGAGGAAUGGGGAAUUCUGAGAUUGCCUAAUUCUCUCUUUCAGCCAAAGGGCGUGCUUCACAGCUUUCGGCGAAGUCAGGUGAUUUAUCUUAAAAGCGGGGAGGGCUUGGUAAAAAGGGGGAAAGCUAAACUCAAAAAGUCCAGCCCUUUCUGUGAGUCACAAUUAAUGGAAAGUCACUGUCUGAAGGCAAUGGAAGCAAGAAGGCUCAGCUGGGGAAGGAGCCUGCCCCCAACCAAGCCCAAGAACCUGAAUUCUGCUCUUCCUGGGACCCAAAUCGUUGGGAAAAAAAAACAACUCCUGCAAGUUGUCCUCUGAGACAAUGUAAAUGCAGUAAGUAUUUUUAAAUUUAAAAAAAAAAGGUGCAAUUCCUUAUUCUUAUCCUGCCUUUGAGACACAUUUGGUGGUUGAAUGACACCCUACACCUGGGCCACAGAUGGCAUGGGCUCAUGCAUUUUCUUUGCUCUAAAAAUACCAUCACAAGGCUGGGCAAGGUGGCAGCAGGAUUGUUGAGAACUUGAGUCUAUCCUGGGCUACAUAGACAUUAUCAGGCCAGCUAGUGCUACAUAAUAAAUUUGUUUCUUGUUCAAUCUGGUGCACAGCCAUGAUCCCAGUGCUUAGGAAGUAAAGUUAGGAGCUAUCAGGAGUUCAAGACCAGACCUCUCCUUGCAUGGUCAGUUGGAGGUCAGCCUGGGCUACCUGAAGGGAGGAAGGCAGGAGAGAGAGAAAAGAGAGGCAAAAGAAAAAUUCCAUUGCAAGUUCACCUCUAUAAUGAGAUACAAACCAGAGUCACUAAGCCACGGCCGUUGGGUCAGAUGCAUCAUUUUACAAAGGCAAUAUAGUUACAAGGACCAAAAAGUAACUACCCCCCCCCCAAGGCUGAUAACAGCCCAUUAUCAAGAUUUAAUAUUUCUGCACACACUGGUCUCCACUUUUUCAGGGUGGUAAGAUGUGGACAGGAUGAAGCAAGGCAUCUGUGCACUAGGCUUACCUCCCGUUACCCAGAGCUAGAUCUAGAGUUAUAAGGCAAGCCCAAGUUUAGGAUUACCAGUUUUUACCUCAAGCAGGGUCCUUUUUCCUUCUGGAAUUAAAGAACAAAGAACGAAGACAGAUGGGGCUAGAGAGACGGCUCAGUGGUUAGAGCACUGACUGUUCUUCCAGAGAUCCUGAGUUCAAUUCCCAGCAACCACAUGGUGGCUCACAACCAUCUGUAAUGAGAUCUGGUGCCCUCUUCCGGCCUGCAGGCAUACAUGCAGGCAGAACACUAUACAUAAUAAAUAAAUAAAUCUUUUUUUAAAAAAUGAACAAGACAGAGAAUCAACUGAUAGGUGAAGAAGAAAGUGACUCCGGUAUAAACCCAAGAGUUGCAAGGCACAGGCCAGAUGAUCACCAGCACUAGUCAGUCCGGUCUACACUGCAGGGAUGGCCCAGCACUUAGGAGAGUUUGCUGCUCUUGCCAUCAACCAGAGUUCAAUCCCCAGCACCACGUUGGGUGGCUCAGAAGCCUAACUCCAGGAGAUCUGAUAUCCCUGCAGCACUGAUACAGUUGUGCACAUACACAUAAAUAAAACAAGCCAUGGGCUGGAGAAUGGCUCAGUGGUUAAGAGCGUGUACUUCUCUUCCAGAGAAACCAAGUUUGGUCCCCAGCACUCAUGUCAGGCAGCUCACAAGCAAAUAAGAGAAAGACUCGAAGCCUGUCCUCGCCUGGGCUUCACUAACAGAGCAUGCAGAAGGAAAGCCCACAAGCUGUUUCAUUAAGUCACACAUACAAGGUUAAAUGCUUUAUAAAAACAAAACAGCAACAAAUAAGGUUGUAUUAUGUAGGGUUUUUUGGACUUUAUCUUUGGCUUACUGUAAGCCCACAUUAUGCUUGGGAAUGCCCCUCCUUUAACCACAACCUUCUGGAUAGUUUCACUUUCUCUGAAGACUCCUGUCUUGUCUACUUUUCUAUGCUGUGAUAAGACACAAUCACCAAGGCAACUUAUAGAAGAAAGGGUUUACUUAGGGCUUACAGUUCCAGAAGGGUAGAAUCCAUGACUAUUAUGGUGGAGGGUAUGGCUGCAGGCAAACAGGCAUGGUGCAGGAGCAGUGGCUGAGAGCUCACAUCUAGAGACACAACCACAAGACAGAAAGUGCUACCUGGGGAAGGUGUAUGAAAGCUCAAAGGCCACACCUCCUCCAGGAAGGCCACACCUCCUAAUCCUUCCCAGACAGCUCCACCAGCUGGCAAGCAAGUAUUCAAAUACAUAAGCCUAUGGGGUCCAUUCUCUUUCAAAGUACCACAACACUUCUUUGGACAUACAGCUGCUUACUGACCCCCAUUCUCAACAUGCCAGCUUUUUGGGACCCUGGCUUAAAAACCCUGACUCUUUCCCACUUCUCCCUCUCUCCUCCCAGCAGCCACUAGGGUUUAUGACUUGCCUGCCUUGUUUUUCUCUCAAACACUAAUGAAAUUGCCUUCAAGCUUCCUUCUGAGUUCAUUUCUAAAUUCUUUUAUUAACAAAGACCUGAAGAGAUGGCUCAGAGGUUAAAGCACUGGCUGCUCUUCCAGAAGACCAAGAUUCAAUUCUCAGCAUCCACAACCAUCUGCAACUCCAGUUUCAGGUACUCCAAUGCCCUCUGUUGGCCUCAUUGGGUACUGCAUGCACAUGGUACACAAAUAUACAUGCAGGCAAUACACCUAUACAUAUAAAAUAUACAUAAAUAAAUCUUAAAAAAAAGAUUAAAGAUCCCAAAAAAAGCCCUAAUUUCCCUGGAAGCAUUACCUUGAUUCUAGGUGGUUUAUGUCAGCUGUUCAAAACCCAUGUCUUAUGAAUUUAAGCACAAAUAGAAGAAAUUGGGUAGGAUAGAAAUAGGAGAAAUUAUGGGAACAUGGGAAGGAAGAGGGAAACUCUAACCCCCCAAGAAUCUAAUGAAACUUCUUGACCCCUGAGAAAUAACAGUUCUAGCACAAUUAGCUUUAGCUGUUGUGGUGUAAAACUCUAAAAUAACUCUAAAGCCAUUUUUGACAAAUCUGAGGCCAAUUUUAAGGCCUCUCAGCAGUAGUACUCCCCCCCUCCCCGGGAGCCAAGGACCUAACAACUGUACAUGUACGUACUGGAAUGCUGGGAACUUUUUAUCAUCUCCCUGAGUCCUUGUAAAUGUUCUAUUGAAUAGGGGCAAGAUAACCCUUAGGUGUUAACUCAGUUCCUGGUGUUUUGACUCAGUCCCUAGAAAAGGGGCAAUUGACCCUAAGAUGUGCCCUCUUACCUCAUCUGAUCUGGCAACCACUCUCCAGCCAAAUAUUGGUAAUAGCCCUUUUAAAUAAGCCAAUCAUAAUAGUUAAAAAAAAAUCUCCAGACACCCCCCUUGUUUCUGUGACUUUUUGCUUUAAAAAUAGCCUGUACCAGCUAUUCGGGGUUUUUCUGGCUUCUUGAAUGCUGAAAGACCCUGUGUCAUGACAAAAUUAAUAAAAUCCUCAUGCUUUUACAUCAACUGUGGUAUGAGAGGUGGUCUCUUGGGACAACUCCUCCUCACUGAUUGGACUCUAGGGUCCAACAGUGGCAAUGGCAAUUGUUGACUUAGAAACUUUUCUAGCCUCUGUUCUCUGGCCAUGAAGAGACAACAUGGCCAAGGCAAUCCAUAUAAAAGAAAGCAUUUGAUUGGGACUUGCUUUCAAUUUCAGAAGGCUAGUUCAUGAACACCACAAUGGGAAACAGACAGGCAUGGCACAGAGCAGUGGCUGAGAGCUUUACAUCCUGAUCCACAAGCAGCAGGGAGAAAAGAGAGACUGGGCUUGGUGCAGGCUUUUGAAACCUCAAAGUCUACCUCCAGUGAUACACCUCCCUCAAAAAGGCCACCCAUCCUAAUCUUCUCAAACAGUUCUACUAACUGGGGACCAAGCAUUCAAAUAUAUGAGUCUAUAGGGCCAUUCUCAUUCAAACCACCACACAAUUCUAUAUAUAAACAUUUUAUAUUAAAAUAGCAAUGGGGAAUAAAGAGACGGCUCAGGAGUUAAGAGCUCUUGUUGUUCUUGCAGAGGACCCUGGUUUAAUUCCCAAAUCCUACUUGGUGGUUCACAAGCUUCCAUAUAACUCUGGUUCCAGGCAAUAGGACACCUUCUUCUGGCCUCUAUGGGCUCAGAGCUUCUUGAAAACACAACUUCAAAAGAUAAAAACAGGAGAAUUAUAUCCUCAAAUGCCACAUAAUGCCUUAAAUCAUGCACUGUUUACACUAAACUUCUUGAAUAUGGAUGUCAAUGAGCAAUCAACGGCAGAGAGAUUAUGACAUAAUGGCACAAAAGUGACCUUUGCUAAAGCAAGGUGGAGAGACCCUUGCACUGGAAGAUGGAAAGCGCCCGACCCUGUAUUAAUUUGGGGUCGAGGAUAUGUCUGUGUUUUUUCACAGGAUGAGGAUCAAGCAAGAUGGCUUCCAGAACGCCUGGUAUGAUGUGUCCGGCAGAACACCUGACCUGAUGGAGGAGUCGGAAUGAAAGUUCGUGGUCCCGCUUUCCUGACCCCACGGAGAGGAAUGCCAGUGUGACGGGACCUGAUGCCACCAUUCUACACAGUGGAUGCCAUUCUGCGCUGCAGGACACUGGGGUGCUUCCAGACACUUGGGAUCCACAUAGCCACUGAGACCCUGCUGCAACAGCCACAAUAAUUACAACUUGCUGCAGUCUGAAUCCUGUUUAAUUUGGAGCCGGACUAGAAACACAGAACUCAGAUCGCCAAUGAGGUAUUCAGUCUGCUGUUGAAAUGUUGAGAGAGCCUGAGAACUGAGAUCUCAAUUUUCCUCUCAGGGAAAAAAGGACUAAAAGCCCUUUUCAGAUAAGAGGAGGGGAGCCUAAGGGUUUUUUUCUGCUGCUCAGAGACUGGGACAGUUGCUUAAAAGCAGCAUUGUAUAUGGACUCUUACCCAUUACAAAAAUCUUCUUGUCUUUUGGUUAAAAUGGAUUUAAGAGAAUCAAGAUUUGUUAAAUGGUGUUAUGGUAUUGACCUGCUAAUGCUUUAGUUCACUAUAAAAUGUUAAUGGUUAGAAAAAUGAUCAGAACUUGUUUGAGAAAAGUUUGACACUAGCAAUGAAUUCUUGAAUUUUACAUGUUUGAUAAGACAAAUUUAGAGUUUGAUACAGCUGAAUACUCUAGACUAAUUCACAGGUAGGCAUUCCCAACCCUGGCGAUCCUCUAUUCCUUUAAUAAGGAGAUAUUAUAGCCAUUGAAGUAUGCAUAGCACAAAGUAUUAUCUGCUUGUUUACCAUUAGCUAAUUGCUAAUGAACUCUCUUGACAGAAACCUGGCUCGAAGACAAAGACACAGAGCCCAGUACUUUUUCCCUUAACCCUUGUCAGCAGUCAAGGAUGGGAUUUGAUCCUUUUUCCCCCAGGCACCUAAGACAUGGACUUGCAUGAAUUAAAAUGCACGUUCCAAAGACCAAAGAUGGGCAAGACUGGGAAAUGAAGGAGUGUUCAUCCCAAGGCAGGUGUGAUCAUCUGUCCUGCUGCAGAAGCACAGGCUUUAUUAAAAUUAAUAAAAAGGGAGGAAUUGUGGAGGCCCAAAGAGGCCAAAUGUCAGAGAGUUUGGGACUUGUUUUUAGAUUAUUGUGCUUCUAACUCAAAGAUCCCAUCGAGUUGAGAAACAGAGUUCUGCUCUCUCAAGGCUAUUGGCAACAGGUGUGGCUAGUUGUCAGACCUCGUGCUCCUGCGAUAGGGAAGUAGUUGGUUCCUACCCAAAACAAAAGUCUAAGGAUCCUACUAAGUUCUAGUUCCCCUUACGAAAAUAACUUGGAAUUCCACCCAGGGAGUGGUUUGCCUGCAGAGUGUUUGGUCUAGGGUGUGAGUCAAGGGCAGAAGCGGUGAGUGUACCCCGUGACUUUCAAUUUGUAUGUUAAUACAGUCCUUCUGUUCUACUCCUGCCUUCUGAAAUCGGGGGUGUAUUAAACUGUUGGAAAAUAAAACACAGUGAAUUUUCAGUACUCACUGAAAUUCCCUCCCAAUACUA